UACGAAGGUGGCAAGCGUUGUUCGGAAUCACUGGGCUUAAAGCGCACGCAGGCGGAAAAGAAAGUGUGGAGUGAAAUCCCUCGGCUUAACCGGGGAACUGCUCUGCAAACUACUUUUCUUGAGGCAAGUAGGGGUACAUGGAACUCUUGGUGGAGCGGUGGAAUGCGUAGAUAUCAAGAGGAACGCCGAUGGUGAAGACAGUGUACUGGGCUUGUCCUGACGCUGAGGUGCGAAAGCGUGGGGAGCGAACGGGAUUAGAUACCCGCGUA
rnacentral:rRNA from 1 species